CGCGGGGUUGGGCAUGGGCGCAGCCUGAUCCAGCAUGCCGCGUGUGUGAAGAAGGUCUUCGGAUUGUAAAGCACUUUUGGCAGGGACGAUGAUGACGGUACCUGCAGAAUAAGCCCCGGCUAACUUCGUGCCAGCAGCCGCGGUAAUAA
rnacentral:rRNA from 1 species